rnacentral:rRNA from 1 species
UGAAGGCCUUCGGGUUGUAAACUGCUUUUGUACGGAACGAAACGGUCUGCCCUAAUACGGUGGGCUAAUGACGGUACCGUAAGAAUAAGCACCGGCUAACUACGUGC